rnacentral:rRNA from 1 species
AGAGUUUGAUCCUGGCUCAGGAUGAACGCUGGCGGCGUGCCUAAUACAUGCAAGUCGAGCGAACGGACGAGAAGCUUGCUUCUCUGAUGUUAGCGGCGGACGGGUGAGUAACACGUGGAUAACCUACCUAUAAGACUGGGAUAACUUCGGGAAACCGGAGCUAAUACCGGAUAAUAUUUUGAACCGCAUGGUUCAAAAGUGAAAGACGGUCUUGCUGUCACUUAUAGAUGGAUCCGCGCUGCAUUAGCUAGUUGGUAAGGUAACGGCUUACCAAGGCAACGAUGCAUAGCCGACCUGAGAGGGUGAUCGGCCACACUGGAACUGAGACACGGUCCAGACUCCUACGGGAGGCAGCAGUAGGGAAUCUUCCGCAAUGGGCGAAAGCCUGACGGAGCAACGCCGCGUGAGUGAUGAAGGUCUUCGGAUCGUAAAACUCUGUUAUUAGGGAAGAACAUAUGUGUAAGUAACUGUGCACAUCUUGACGGUACCUAAUCAGAAAGCCAUGGCUAACUACGUGCCAGCAGCCGCGGUAAUACGUAGGUGGCAAGCGUUAUCCGGAAUUAUUGGGCGUAAAGCGCGCGUAGGCGGUUUUUUAAGUCUGAUGUGAAAGCCCACGGCUCAACCGUGGAGGGUCAUUGGAAACUGGAAAACUUGAGUGCAGAAGAGGAAAGUGGAAUUCCAUGUGUAGCGGUGAAAUGCGCAGAGAUAUGGAGGAACACCAGUGGCGAAGGCGACUUUCUGGUCUGUAACUGACGCUGAUGUGCGAAAGCGUGGGGAUCAAACAGGAUUAGAUACCCUGGUAGUCCACGCCGUAAACGAUGAGUGCUAAGUGUUAGGGGGUUUCCGCCCCUUAGUGCUGCAGCUAACGCAUUAAGCACUCCGCCUGGGGAGUACGACCGCAAGGUUGAAACUCAAAGGAAUUGACGGGGACCCGCACAAGCGGUGGAGCAUGUGGUUUAAUUCGAAGCAACGCGAAGAACCUUACCAAAUCUUGACAUCCUUUGACAACUCUAGAGAUAGAGCCUUCCCCUUCGGGGGACAAAGUGACAGGUGGUGCAUGGUUGUCGUCAGCUCGUGUCGUGAGAUGUUGGGUUAAGUCCCGCAACGAGCGCAACCCUUAAGCUUAGUUGCCAUCAUUAAGUUGGGCACUCUAAGUUGACUGCCGGUGACAAACCGGAGGAAGGUGGGGAUGACGUCAAAUCAUCAUGCCCCUUAUGAUUUGGGCUACACACGUGCUACAAUGGACAAUACAAAGGGCAGCGAAACCGCGAGGUCAAGCAAAUCCCAUAAAGUUGUUCUCAGUUCGGAUUGUAGUCUGCAACUCGACUACAUGAAGCUGGAAUCGCUAGUAAUCGUAGAUCAGCAUGCUACGGUGAAUACGUUCCCGGGUCUUGUACACACCGCCCGUCACACCACGAGAGUUUGUAACACCCGAAGCCGGUGGAGUAACCUUUUAGGAGCUAGCCGUCGAAGGUGGGACAAAUGAUUGGGGUGAAGUCGUAACAAGGUAGCCGUAUCGGAAGGUGCGGCUGGAUCACCU